rnacentral:rRNA from 1 species
AGUCAACGCUGGCGGCGUGCCUAACACAUGCAAGUCGCACGAGAAAGGGCAGCAAUGCCUGAGUACAGUGGCGCACGGGUGAGUAACACGUGAAUGAUCUACCUCCGAGUGGGGAAUAACUGAGAGAAAUCUUAGCUAAUACCGCAUAACACUUACGAGUCAAAGCAGCAAUGCGCUUGGAGAGGAGUUCGCGGCAGAUUAGUUAGNGGCGGGGUAAUGGCCCACCAAGACGAUGAUCUGUAUCCGGCCUGAGGAGGGCGCACGGACACACUGGAACUAGAAACACGGUCCAGACUCCUACGGGAGGCAGCAGGUGGGGAAUUUUGCG